rnacentral:lncRNA from 1 species
CCUCCAGAGAGAACCAGGCCCUGCUACUCUCUCACGUCCUGGGGGCAGCCUUGGCCCCAGGUGCCCCUCCGCUGGCACAGUCCCAGGCACCUGCUCAGGUGCCCCUCCGCUGGCACAGUCCCAGGCACCUGCUCAGGUGCCCCUCCCCUGGCACAGUCCCAGGCACCUGGCCCUAGCACCGGAGAGCAGCAGCCCGCUCGUCAUCGGUACUCCCACCCCAGCUUCACGUCCCCUCCUCCUCUCUCCAUUCAGCACCUGUACCCUGUGAGAGGGGACCCCAGGUCGCCUCGCGCCCCGCCCCUCAGGGCUUGCCCCCUCGGCGUCCACUCACCCCAGCCGGGCUCGGCGCUCCCGGGCUCCGGCAGAGCUGCACGCGCGGCUCGCCAGCCCUCCCCCUCAGGCCCUCUGCGCUCCCUCCGUCCUCCCCCCCCCACACCCGGCGCCACCAACCUGUUACUCCCCUCCGGAGCUCCACCCCCAUUGGCCGUCACCACCCGCCCCGCCUUUCCCUUCCUCUGGUUGGUCCUUUUCCCGCGGGGGGCGGGGCCGUUCGCCCCAGGCACCCGGACCGGGGGUCGCGGGCCGGGGUGGGCGCGCCGGGUCACGUGGGCCGGCGGGCUGGUUGGGAGGCGGUGUACGGGAGGCCAUUUUGGGGGCGUCGCGGUCGGUGCGGCUGGGCCCCAAGAGGGAGCCGCGCGCCGGAGCAUCUUCUGGCCUCGGUGGGAGGCAGCCUUUCCCCGCGCCCUGCUCCGCGGGGCCCCAGUCUGCACCGCUGUGUGCCCUCACCUGUGUCCGCACCGACCGGAUUGCGCCGCUGCCUCUUUUCACAGGGUGUCUCCCCGCUCCGCCAGCGUCCCGCGACCUCAGCUCGUGUCGCAGCCUGAGCCGCGGCCCCCCUCUCCUGGCCUCCACAAAUCAUUGUCCAGCCUGGAACCUCUCUCUCCGAAGGAGAGACUUGGUUAUAUUUUGAGAAUAAGCCAGAAGAGCUAGCAAGAUUCAAGAAAUAAGGGAGAGUGUGUGUGAGUUAGCAAAGCCUGGACCUAGAGGAAAAGGAAAAGUCUGUGGAACUUAAAUUGGAAGAUCAGGUAAGGAGUGGGGAGUUGAAGAUCACUUUAGUUCACCAUGUCGUUUGACCUGCCAGAGAAAAGGGUGAUUUUAAGAGCUGGAGACUUUGUAAACCCGUUUUAGAACUGUUCUACAGGAGAAUACAAUAAGUGCCAAAUAAAUGGUUCAAAUGAAGUGCUACCA